AACGAACGCUGGCGGCAGGCUUAACACAUGCAAGUCGAACGCAGCCUUCGGGGUGAGUGGCAGACGGGUGAGUAACGCGUGGGAACGUGCCCUUCAGGUCGGAAUAACCCAGGGAAACUUGGGCUAAUACCGGAUACGUGCGAGAGCAGAAAGAUGUAUCGCUGAAGGAUCGGCCCGCGUCGGAUUAGCUAGUUGGUGAGGUAAUGGCUCACCAAGGCGACGAUCAGUAGCUGGUAGGAGAGGAUGUUCAGCACAAUUGGGACGGAGACACGGCCCAAACUCCUACGGGAGGCAGCAGUGGGGAAUAUUGGACAAUGGGCGCAAGCCUGAUCCAGCCAUGCCGCGUGAGUGAUGAAGGCCUUAGGGUUGUAAAGCUCUUUCAGUGGGGACGAUAAUGACGGUACCCGCAGAAGAAGCCCCGGCUAACUUCGUGCCAGCAGCCGCGGUAA
rnacentral:rRNA from 1 species